rnacentral:lncRNA from 1 species
UGGGUCUUGGGGGUCUCUGGAGAGUGGCUAUAAAUACUAGCCUUUGUGCUGGGCAGCAAAGCAAAUCAUCGGGAAUAACCCAGGAGCCUGGCAGGGAAACCGCUGCACUAUGGAGAGGACACUUCCGGAUACAGAGGACAAAUCAAGUGAAGGGACGGAACAGGUCACACCCAGAGCGGCACAGAGGAUCUAUGAAAGAUAAAAUGUGGUGUGAGGACACGGCCCAGCCCCACCAUCGUCUUCCAGCCCCACCAUCGUCUUCCAGCCCCACCAUCGUCUUCUUGGACUCUCUGGGUAGCACCACGCUGUGGGUGCUGCUCUCCUCUGUGUCCCAAACGACUUUAUGCCUCACUUUAUCGGGUUUUGGCUGUGACUUGGAGCCUCACCAAGCUCCCUUUUCCUCUGUCUCCCAUUCUCCUCUCCAGGCCAGGGUGGCUUCCCCAGCCCUCCUCCCCGGGUCCUGCCUGUGCGGAGCUUUCCUCCCAGGAGGGAGGUGAUACUGACUUGAGAUCCUAUGGGUGUUUUGUUUGUGGCUGGGCCUGGCCGACCCUCUCUCCACGGCCUUAGAUCACACUCUAGGUGGACAGUACAGUCGUCCUCAAUACUGAGCCUCUUUGGAACAUACCCACUGAUGGUGGUUCACAAGCUACCCACGGCCACAAGCUGACCCAUAUCUCCGUGAAAUUAAAAAAUACUGUGAAAGGAAAAA